AGACGAUAGAUGAUAUAUAAUAAUCGUUAACUCUUUUUAUUAUUAUUAUUAUUUAAAAUAAUAUCACAGUGAAUUACAAAGUAUCAUUAUUUAAUUUACCUCGAUACGCAAUGCUUGUGCCGAGGUAAACGGGUUGGCCGUACAACUUAACUUAAUUACAAUAUUUACGGUAGAAAAAAAACAACAGUAAUAAAUGUACUCAUCUCAGAUUUAGGUAUCCGACCGCAGUUCGAGUAGCGACCAGUUGACAAUAGUGUUUUUUUCCCCUAAAUUCACGGUUAUUAACGUUAACAGUGUUGUAAAUACAUUUUUUUCAGAUCCAGUGGCAUAGCGUUCGAGUUCUCCGGACCUAAACAAUCUACAUACUUGUUUCCUA